UCCUAAUAGCUAGCUUAAACACCCAA
rnacentral:rRNA from 1 species